CAGCCCAUGGCCUGAAAGGCCAGUUUCACUCCCACCAUGCCCCCAGCCCCACCCAAAAGCACUGAGUUUAUUUCUAGGCAGCUGAUGAGCAGGACUGAGAACUUGCCCCAGGCUACAAGCCUCCCAGCUGAGAAAGCAAGGGGACUCACAGUUCCUCGGCUGCCCAUGGAGCCUGCAGUGGCAAUCAACUGUCUUCAACGCAUCUGUGGAUUCUCUCAGCUUUCCUGGAGGAAGAGCAGAAUAUCUACUUUUAAUCGCUGUUGAAAGAACUAACCAAGAUAACUCACAGAAUAUGUCUG
rnacentral:lncRNA from 1 species